rnacentral:rRNA from 1 species
GAGUUUGAUCUUGGCUCAGGAUGAACGCUGGCGGCGUGCUUAACACAUGCAAGUCGAACGGAGUACCCUCGAAGGAGUUUUCGGACAACUGAGAGGACUACUUAGUGGCGGACGGGUGAGUAACGCGUGAGUAACCUGCCUUGGAGUGGGGAAUAACAGCUGGAAACAGCUGCUAAUACCGCAUGAUGCAGUUGGGCCGCAUGGCUCUGACUGCCAAAAGAUUUAUCGCUCUGAGAUGGACUCGCGUCUGAUUAGCUGGUUGGUGGGUAACGGCUCACCAAGGCGACGAUCAGUAGCCGGACUGAGAGGUUGGCCGGCCACAUUGGGACUGAGACACGGCCCAGACUCCUACGGGAGCAGCAGUGGGAAUAUUGGGCAAUGGCGCAAGCCUGACCCAGCAACGCCGCGUGAAGGAAGAAGGCUUC